GGUUGAUCCUGCCAGUAGUCAUAUGCUUGUCUCAAAGAUUAAGCCAUGCAUGUCUAAGUAUAAACGACUUUGUACUGUGAAACUGCGAAUGGCUCAUUAAAUCAGUUAUAGUUUAUUUGAUAGUACCUUACUACUUGGAUAACCGUGGUAAUUCUAGAGCUAAUACAUGCUAAAAACCCCGACUUCCGGAAGGGGUGUAUUUAUUAGAUAAAAAACCAACCUGGGCAACCAGUUUUUUGGUGAUUCAUGAUAACUUUUCGAAUCGCAUGUCUUUGACGGCGAUGGUUCAUUCA
rnacentral:rRNA from 1 species